CCAUAGUCAACCGCCGCCGUGGAGUCUUCCAACGUCUCCGAUCAAAAAACAACUCUCAGACAAUUUUCCGAUCUAAAGGAAGCCGAAGUGCUCCGGAAUCGACGGAUCCAAUUCCCAAAUAAAUUCGCGAGAACGAAGAAGGAAAUAGAAUCAGGGACGAGCUCGAUCGCUGAAGCAAGAAUCGAGGGAAAACCGCUCGGAUCUGGGAAAUGGGCGAGGGAUUUCAACGAUACGCACCGCGAUCCAAAGAGCUUUCUCCUGAGAAAAAAGCAACCAAACUGAAAUCCAACACCGCCGCCGGAGAAGGAGAUCAGCGAACAGGCAGCAAGCCAAUAAUCCGCCAUUUUUUUACCUUCGGAGAAAAUAGAAGGCGGCGACGACGACGACAAGUCCCUUCCGUUCGUUUGGGAUCCUUCCACAAAGCUACAUUGACGAUUAGCUUCCUGUAGGCUGUCGGAGGUCCUUUUGGAGGUCUUCUCUUGGAUUCUGCAAUCUUCCACGGCCGUCGGUCGUCGGAGUCGAAGCUCUUCUUGAUAUUUGGGAAUUUGGAUAGUGCAGGGUGUUAUUUGGGAAAUUCUGAAAGAUAAGUGCCUCAAAAAAAAAUAAAUUUCACUAAUUUCUUUUGCCCGAUCUGAUCUACUCUCGUCUUCCUCGAUCCCAGCGGCCAGCGGGCGACGAGUAACCAGCGGUAUUGGCCGGCCGGCCAGCGAACUUCUACGGGGGAAGCGAUCCCUCCUCCGUCCUCGUUGGUAAACCCUCCGCCACCUCCUCUAUUUCCUUUUUCUUCUAUAUCGCCUUGGAUUUGUAUCGCUUCAUCAGCAGCCAAAACGGAGAAAUCGGUGGAUUCCUUAGGGUUCGUCUUCGCCAAUCCCUAACCGGGAGAAAGAUUGAUCUCCAACCCCUUCUCAUUUCAAAGAUUUACUCAAACCCUAGCGAAUGGAGCAACCGAGCAUCGUCCAGGCUCUUCCGGCCGAGCAACCGAGGAUCGUCCGGGUUCUGCCAAGGGAGCAACUACACAUUAUCCAGGCUCUGCCGGCCACUCCUAGGAAACAAAAGGAGCGCAUCGCCGGAGCCACUGCAAGCAGCAACUUUCCGUCGCCGACCGGCACUUCUCGAUGCACUCGCUUGCAGGCCGCCCCUGACUGGUCCACUUACGAUACGCUUGUCCUUCUCAACGAGAUCGCUUCCAUGGACGAGGACUGGCUCAAGGCGCUCUCCUCGUACCAGAAGUGGAAGAUGAUCGCGGACAACUGUGCCGCCUCGAACGUCGUACGAUCCUCCCACCAGUGCAAGAGGCGGUGGAAGUCGCUGCUCUCUGCCCACUCGAAGAUCAGGGAGUGGGAGUUCAAGCAUGGUGAGGGAUCCUACUGGAGCUUGGAUAGUGAGAAGAAGAAGCACUUGCUAGGGCUCCCGUACAUGCUCGACCAGGAAGUGUUCAGUGCCAUGGAUGCAGUUAUUAGGCCGCAGGAGGGUCAGGCUGUGUUGGUCGAUAUGGAGGUGGAGGGCAUCAUCAUGGCUGCCAAUGGUUUGCAAGAGCUACCUGUGGCCGCAGAGACAGAAAUGCUGGAUGUUACUGAUGCUCCAGAAUCUCAACUUUCAGGUUCCAAAGAGAAUAUAGAAGAUGAGAAUCAAGAUAAAGAAAACUUAGAAAAGGCGAGAAUUAUGAUGAGUAAGCUGCAUGAGAAUGCUCAGCAGAUACAUGUCAUUCUGAAACAUGAGCUAGAAGAUAAUCUUGGUGUGAAUCCUGCUCUGGUGGAUUUGGCAUACCCUAGCGAUGCAAUGAGGUUGCAAGCAGAUCAGUUAAUCAAAGCUCUGAGGAGCCUUGUUGGUCCUCUGAACCAGUUCACAGAGCUGAUCAAGGCGGUCGGUUAUGAAGGCAUUCAACCUAUAUGAGUCCAUGAUAUGCAAUGCGAUGCCACUUUGUCAAAGUUUUGGUUGCAUUACCUCACACUUUGUCCUGAUCAGGUUUCCUCCAAAUUCAAUACACAACUUUAGUUAUAUAUGGAUUUGCAAGAACACUGUUUGGAUUAUCCUCACAUAUACAUAUGAGAACAACUUCAGAGGACACCAUGCUUCUAAUCAGCAUUUGUAAACAAGUACACUGAACUCUGCGACUAUUUCAAUAGAUUUCUUGCCAUUUUGCUGCAGCAUCACACUACGAUGAAUCUUGCGACCAUUUUCAUAGAAUCAACAUCAAUCAUUCAUCGUGAACGAUCACACUGUCGAUGAGUGAUGAGUCCUGUGGCUAUUUUGAUAGGUAAGCAUUUCUCUCUAUAAAAAAAACUCCUCUUUAGACACCUGCUUUGUUGUUGGUUCAUCUGGUAACUUGAUCUUGAUGCAAAAUUAGCAUUCACCUCAAAUUUCUUGCCAUUCGAUCUUUUGUUUCUGGAUUUCCUACGACAUGAUGACUCUCUUUGCUUUAUCUGUUCCCUUGUUUGCGACUUAUCAUAUACUUUUUACUGUGGAAUGGGAUUGCAAGUUAAUGUCCUAA